UUUCUGUGCUUUUGUGUCUGGCAAUAGGAGAUGAUUCUGAAGCAUACAUCCGAUAUAGCAGAGGUACUCCACGCCAUCCCACAAAACCCAUCCCACACAAAUUCACACAGAAUGAUGGGUGUUAACUACUUUGAUGCACAGUUACCCGUGAACACAGAAGUUUCACAGGAUGUAGAACGAGCGGGUUUCAGUCGGAGUUCAAACAGUGACUUCAUUGCAGGCAGUACAUCCCAACAGUCUGAAUUCAAUAAUACCAACACGUGCAUGAAUGGACACACACAUUCGCAUGCACACUCCUCUAUGCAAAGGCACACGCACUCAAACACACACCCGUCCAUGGCUGGGCACACACAAACACAUGCACGCCCUUCUGUGUCAAACUUCUCUGUGGCUGCCACACAGCCAUUCUUAGAGAGUCCCACAGCAGACACACAACACUACAUCGUGAAGCAAAAAAGUGGAGCAUUUGCUCCAGUUCUGAAGCUGCAGUCCUCAAAAGCACAAGCUUCAAGUCUUCCCAUCUGCACGGUAAUGGCACAUGACAUGCUUGUUUUUACACACAAACUCCUCUCUCCUGCU
rnacentral:lncRNA from 1 species